rnacentral:rRNA from 1 species
UACAGAGGUCCCAAGCGUUGUUCGGAUUCACUGGGCGUAAAGGGUGCGUAGGCGGCUUUGUUAGUCUGAUGUGAAAUCUCCAGGCUCAACCUCGAAACGGCAUUGGAUACUGUGAGGCUGGAGGACUGGAGGGGGAACUGGAAUGCUCGGUGUAGCAGUGAAAUGCGUAGAGAUCGAGAGGAACACCAGUGGCGAAGGCGAGUUCCUGGACAACACCUGACGCUGAGGCACGAAAGCCAGGGGAGCAAAC